rnacentral:tRNA from 1 species
UCCCUGGUGGCUCCGAUGGUAAAGCGUCUGCCUACAAUGCAGGAGACCCAGGUUCCAUCCCUGGAUUGGGAA